rnacentral:rRNA from 1 species
AUGAAAAUAAGUCUUAGGAAUGGAUUUUAUCAGGUUUACGAAUUUGAGGAGACACAUAACCACAUUCUUGAUACUGGAACCAUGGCCCAGUACUUGAGAUCUCACGGAAAAGUGACCGAUGCACAAAUAGCGGCUGCAGAGGUCGCAAAGUCUGUAGGCAUUUCUAAUAAAGCAACUAUUGAUCUUAUGGCCAAAGAAGCAUGUGGACAAGAAAACCUUGGUUUUAUCCCUCAAGACAUGAAAAAUCGUUUGUACUCAAAAAGAACAUUGCAAGCAGCGAAAGGUGAUACAGGGGGAGUGUUAGAAUACAUGGAGAAGAAGGUAGCAGAAGAUGUCAAGUUUUUUUAUUCAAUUCAAGUAGAUGAGGACGAUUUGAUAACUAAUAUAUUUUGGGCUGACUCGAAAAUGGUCUCAGACUAUGCAACUUUCGGUGAUGUUAUAAGCUUUGACACCACAUAUAGGAAACUAAAUGAUGGGCGUCCAUUUGGUUUGAUUGUUGGGGUGAAUAAUCACAAGAAAACUAUUGUGUUUGGUGCUGCACUUCUUUAUGAUGAAACUGCUGAAAGUUUUGGUUGGCUUUUUAGAACUUUUCUAAAAGUUAUGUCAGGGAAACAUCCACAAACAAUUCUUACCGAUGAAGAUGCAGCAAUGGCCAAGGCAAUCAGUGAAGUCCUACCUCACUCUCACCAUAGACUUUGUGUGUGGCAUAUGAAUCAAAAUGCUUACAAGCACCUUGCUGGAGUUGUUCCAGAAUAUAAGAAGUUCAAUAGUGAUUUCCAGCACUGUAUCUAUGACAUAGAGGACGAAGAAGAAUUUAUAAGUGCAUGGAAUGAUAUGCUUGAUAAGUAUGGACUACGUGAGAAUACAUGGCUCCAAAGGUUGUUCGAGAAAAGGGAGCAAUGGGCACUAGUGUAUGGUAGAAAUACAUUCUCUGCCCACAUGAGCACUACCCAAAGAAGUGAAAGCAUGAACAAUGAACUGAAGCGUUACAUCAGUAUUAAAUAUGACAUGCUUACAUUUUUCGAGCAUUUCGAACGGCUUGUUGCAGAUAAAAGAUUUGAAGAAGUGAAGUGUGACUUCAAGGCAUCACAAACUACUCCGAAGAUGAAGGCAGAAAGUAGCUAUAUAUUAAGGCACGCUGUAACUACAUAUACUCCAGCAAUAUUCAAGAUGUUUCAGGAGGAAGUGCUUCUGACCCUGAAUUAUGACACAUUCCUUCGUGAUGACAGUGAUACAGAGCAAAAGUUUUACACGGUAAAAUUUCAUGACACAAAACGUGAGCAUGUUGUUAGAUUUGCUCCAAAUGAAGAAAGGGUGAAUUGUAGUUGCAAGAAGUUUGAAUUUGCUGGAAUUCUAUGCCGUCAUUGCUUAAAGGUACAUGAUAUCAAUAAUAUCAAGCAUAUCCCUGAACAAUAUAUCUUGAAAAGGUGGACAAUAGACGCCAAAGUUCUAGAGAUAACAAGCAAUCGCAAUCUACAUGAGGAUCGAAAAGCAAAAAUGUCGAACUACUAUGAGGAGUUGUGCAGAAUGUUUGUCAAAAUAGCUGCUCGUGCCUCUGAAUCGGACGAAACAUAUGAUAUGGUUGCUAAAUGCGCAGAGCAGCUAGCAGAAGCUGUGGAGAAAUAG